rnacentral:pre_miRNA from 1 species
UUAGCUCAUAUUUGUAUGGAAUGGGAUCGGUUGCGUACGUUUGCCGCUAGGGGCGCUGUUCCAACUGCAUACAAAAUUGGCUUA